GGGGGUGUAGCUCAUAUGGUAGAGCGUUCGCUUCGCAUGCGAGAGGCACGGGGUUUGAUUCCCCGCACCUCCA
rfam:Erythranthe guttata cultivar DTN x IM62 scaffold_191_contig_23, whole genome shotgun sequence.